rnacentral:rRNA from 1 species
GACGAACGCUGACGGUGUGCUUUAGACAUGCAAGUCGAACGAGAAAGCCCUUCGGGUUAGUAAAGUGGCGAACGGGUGAGUAACACGUGGGCAAUCUGCCCCUCCGCAGGGGGACGAACCGGAGGAAACUCCGGCUAAUACCCCGUAAGUUCAAAGGGAGGCAUCUCUCUUCGAAGAAAGGUAGCUUCGGCCAUCCGGCGAGGGAUGAGCCCGCGGUGCAUUAGCUAGUUGGUGGGGUAACGGCCUACCAAGGCGACGAUGCAUAGCUGGUCUGAGAGGAUGAUCAGCCACACUGGGACUGAGACACGGCCCAGACUCCUACGGGAGGCAGCAGUCGGGAAUCUUGCGCAAUGGGCGAAAGCCUGACGCAGCAACACCGUGU